GACGUAGGGCGCAAGCGUUGUCCGGAUUCAUUGGGCGUAAAGAGCGUGUAGGCGGCCAGGUAGGUCGGUUGUGAAAACUGGAGGCUCAACCUUCAGAGGUCGACCGAAACCAUCUGGCUAGAGUCCGGGAGAGGAGAGUGGAAUUCCUGGUGUAGCGGUGAAAUGCGCAGAUAUCAGGAAGAACACCCGUGGCGAAAGCGGCUCUCUGGAACGGUACUGACGCUGAGACGCGAAAGCGUGGGGAGCGAACAGG
rnacentral:rRNA from 1 species